GAUGAACGCUAGCGGCAGGCUUAAUACAUGCAAGUCGAGGGACAGCACAGGUAGCAAUACUGGGUGGUAACCGGCAAACGGGUGCGGAACACGUACACAACCUUCCUUUAAGUGGGGGAUAGCCCAGAGAAAUUUGGAUUAAUACCCCGUAAUAUAGUUGAAUGGCAUCAUUUGAUUAUUAUAGCUACGGCGCUUAAUGAUGGGUGUGCGGCUGAUUAGAUAGUUGGCGGGGUAACGGCCCACCAAGUCUACGAUCAGUAGCUGAUGUGAGAGCAUGAUCAGCCACACGGGCACCGAGACACGGGCCCGACUCCUACGGGAGGCAGCAGUAAGGAAUAUCGGUAAAUGGACGCAAGUCUGAACCAGCCAUGCCGCGUGAAGGAUUAAGGUCCUCUGGAUUGUAAACUUCUUUUAUUUGGGACGAAAAAGGGCCUUUCUAGGUCAACUGACGGUACCAGAUGAAUAAGCACCGGCUAACUCCGUGCCAGCCGCCGCAGUAAUAC
rnacentral:rRNA from 1 species